GCGCGAGUGGCGGAAUUGGUAGACGCGCGUGGCUUAGGACCACGUAUCUUCGGAUGUGGAGGUUCAAGUCCUCUCUCGCGCA
rnacentral:tRNA from 1 species